rnacentral:misc_RNA from 1 species
AUAUAUCAACCUCUCAAGCUUUUGCUUGUAGAGUGUAUGGAUCUGGGGGGAUUUAUUUUGCUGGCCUUUUUACGAGUGUCAGCUCCCCUGAAAUGCAUUAGCAGAACAAUUUGUUGAUCGUUCAUUAGUGUGAUAACUAUCUACGCUGUUGACGUGAAGCAGUUCAGCUUUAAUAACAGUCCAUUGGACAGCAUGUUUAUUA